rnacentral:lncRNA from 1 species
AUGUCACAGGUAAUUAUUCUAAGGAGUAACAGUCAUAUCAUUUUAAGUACCCUUGUAUGCAAUUAUCUCUAUGGAGGAAUAAAAAGAACAGGUACUUCUGGAACAGAGGCUACAUCUUCUUCCAAGUUUUUAAUGGGUUCAGAACAUUUUGGCCAUGUCUACAUGAUAAAAAUAAAAUGUUUUCCCCACUCAAAGCAAUUGCAGAUUUGUGAAUGUGGGGUGUGUGUGUGUGUGUGUGUGAGAGAGAGAGAGCGAGAGAUAGAGAGAGAGAAAGAGAGAGAGAGAGAGAGAGAGAGAGAGAGAAAUGCAAAAAUGGCUAACCUCCCCCUGACCUACCUUCUCAUUUCUGAGACUGAAACUGAAAAUCCCUUGCUUGGGACACUAGGGAUCUGUUCUGUCUGGGCAUGCAGCCAUAUUGGGGCAUGCCCAAGGGGACUGUGCCUGAGCUCCUAAAGUAUGCUGCCCCAGGACACCAGUGCCCCCAUCCCUUCUUGUGAUCCAAGUUAACUACAAUCUGAGAACUUCUCCUGAACAUUCAUCUGAUGAUAAUCUCUCAUUGUAAUGAUUGCUGAGAAAGUAACCAAGGUGUGGCUUUAGAACAAUCUGUUCUUUCAAAAUUGUAAAACUACUCUAAGGAAACCUUAAUUUUGGUCCCUAGAAUUAAAACAAAACAAAAAUAAAAACAAAAAACCAAAAACACUUGCAGUUUCAGAAAGCCCUUUGUUCUAAACACAGUCUCUAACUCUU